AGUGAACGCUGGCGGUAGGCCUAACACAUGCAAGUCGAACGGCAGCACAGUAAGAGCUUGCUCUUACGGGUGGCGAGUGGCGGACGGGUGAGGAAUACAUCGGAAUCUACUUUUUCGUGGGGGAUAACGUAGGGAAACUUACGCUAAUACAGCAUACGACCUACGGGUGAAAGCAGGGGAUCUUCGGACCUUGCGCGAAUGAAUGAGCCGAUGUCGGAUUAGCUAGUUGGCGGGGUAAAGGCCCACCAAGGCGACGAUCCGUAGCUGGUCUGAGAGGAUGAUCAGCCACACUGGAACUGAGACACGGUCCAGACUCCUACGGGAGGCAGCAGUGGGGAAUAUUGGACAAUGGGCGCAAGCCUGAUCCAGCCAUACCGCGUGGGUGAAGAAGGCCUUCGGGUUGUAAAGCCCUUUUGUUGGGAAAGAAAAGCAGCAGGUUAAUACCCCGCUGUUCUGACGGUACCCAAAGAAUAAGCACCGGCUAACUUCGUG
rnacentral:rRNA from 1 species